AUUGAACGCUGGCGGCAUGCCUUACACAUGCAAGUCGAACGGUAACAGGUCUUCGGAUGCUGACGAGUGGCGAACGGGUGAGUAAUACAUCGGAACGUGCCUAGUAGUGGGGGAUAACUACUCGAAAGAGUGGCUAAUACCGCAUGAGAUCUACGGAUGAAAGCAGGGGAUCGCAAGACCUUGUGCUACUAGAGCGGCCGAUGGCAGGUUAGGUAGUUGGUGGGAUAAAAGCUUACCAAGCCGACGAUCUGUAGCUGGUCUGAGAGGACGAUCAGCCACACUGGGACUGAGACACGGCCCAGACUCCUACGGGAGGCAGCAGUGGGGAAUUUUGGACAAUGGGCGCAAGCCUGAUCCAGCAAUGCCGCGUGCAGGAUGAAGGCCUUCGGGUUGUAAACUGCUUUUGUACGGAACGGAAAGCCCUGGGUUAAUACCCUGGGGUCAUGACGGUACCGUAAGAAUAAGCACCGGCUAACUACGUGCCAGCCGCCGCCGUAAUAC
rnacentral:rRNA from 1 species